GUAGGCAGUGAGGGGUGGAGGAUGAAUCCUGCCUCCUGUAUCAAGAAGUGUGUUCUCUCAGAGCAAUACAGUGUCUGCACCGAACAUUCCAGGCAAGCACUUCCUCCAUGGGCUCAUCUUAAUACCACUCACCUGUUUAUCCCCCCACAAAACAACUCCCAAAUAGCUCUGCCCAUUACAAAUGCAGGCCUCUCUCUGGGCAAUGUGCUCUCUGCUCUGUCUGGAGAGUGGGAACUCCAACACAUGCAGCCUUCUAGCCCUGCCUAUCACACCCCACUGGGUUAUGUCAAUUACCUCAAGUAACUAUAAGCUCCUGGAAGAAGUCCUAAGAUUAGGCAGUGUAUGCUCUCUAUUUAGACUGAAAGGCCAUGAGGUAUAUCCAGGACACAGAUCCUACACAGCCCUUCACACUUACAACAGGUAUUUCCUUUAAAAUCUACAUGCUCCCAUCUUAAGGGUAACUUUGGCUCCAUAAUAGACACAGGCCCCAAGUCACCACUGCUUAAGAAGGUCUAACAGAUCCAGAAUUUACUUCAGCAUGAGAUGAUGGAAAGAAGGCCUUGCCUUCCAGAUCUGAGAGGCCACUUGCCUGCCGACUUCCUCUGCCUGUGGACAACCAGCCUUUGGGCUGCGGACCAAGCGUCACACUUGGUCCAUGCCUUCAUCAGUUUUCACUAAAGCCACAAAAUCUUCCUUAAAAGGGUCCUAGGUACCUCCUGUUCCCCAAAUCUACAUUACUGCCUGGUCCAGGGUGGCAAGGCCCUGAUAGAAUCAGAUUCCUUCUCUCCAGUCCCACCAACCCUCAAUUAAGCCCCUGGAAGUGGUUGCCCUCCAUUAGAAUUAUGAAAGAAUUGGUCUGCUAUUAAUGUUCAAAUUACUUAGGUUUUGGUGGAUACUGGACCCAAAAAAGCACUUGGAGCAAUUGGCAGCUGUGGAUGAAUUCAGGGAUAAAACAGUAAAGUGUCUAUGUUGUUUGUACAGAUGUUGCUGCUUGGGCCCAGAGAGUGACACCAUCCAGACUGUGAAAAUAAAACACAGGACUGAAGGAUGGAACCUUGAACACUAGAUGAUGAGUUGCUUAACGCAGAGGUGAAGGAGCAAGAUGGAUGUGGAAAUGACGUUGAACAUGCAGGCAGGAGAUGAGCCAUGGCUUUCCAGAGAAGAAUCGGUGAGGCUGCUGGAAAGAGAGGUGGGUGCUAGGGAGAAAAGGGGGUGUUCUCCCACUGCACGGGAUCACGGGAGCUGUGGAAGUGCUGGCCGCACUCCUCCUGUGACAGGAGGUAACCGACGAGCAGGGCAGCGAGGGCAGAACAGGUUUCAGGGAAGGACAUUCAGCAAGGCAGAACAUAGACCAGUUCCAAGCUGGUGGUGACAGGGUAAGGAGCAAGAUCUUUGCAAAGAAUAAGAAUGGGAUGGGAAAGGCUGAACUGGUGAGGAGAGGUGACAGGGAGUGUCCCUCCCACAGGUUCUGUCUUGCCUAACCCUGGUUCUUUAAUAGUAGCUGGGACUAUAUGCAGAGAUAUCACUGACAGGCAUACAGGAAAGCUAUUCAGGGUUGGGGCAGAGAGGUGUCCAAAGUCAUAGCCUGGUUAGGUCCAGGAGACUGUGCUGUGUGUGUGCCCUUGAACAAAACUUUUAGGGAAGCCAGUCAAGUUCUUUCUAAAUACCAAGGAGGAAUAUCCAUGUUUCUUUAACUCUUAAGAAAGCUUUAGAUAUUUUUUGAAUGUGUAUGAAUGUUUUGCCUGCAUGCAUGUAUGUUCACCACACACGACUGGUGCCCAAGGAGAUCAGAAGACAGCAUGAUAUCCCCUGGAACUGGAAUUACUGUGUGGGUGCUGGGAACCAAUUCCAGAUCUGUGUGUCACUCAAACCCUGGAAUCAGCAGAAAGUGGCAACUGUGCCAUUAGUGGCUAAGUCUGGGUGACUGCCAGAUGUGACUGUGAGGGGUUCCCAGAGAGGUUUUAAUUGAGGAAGGAGGAUGCACCCUGAAUGUGGGCAGCACCACCUCAUGGCCCAGACUGAGUGAAAUGGGAGAAAAUCAGAAAACAAGCGGAGUACCAUCAUUCAUUUCUCAGCUUCCUGACUGUGGACACAAUGCAACCAGCUGCCCUCAAGCUCCUGCAUGGCACCUACCAACAUGCCUUCCUUUGCAAUAUGAACUCUACCCCUCAAAGUAGCCAGGAUGAACCCUUCCUUCUUUAAAUAGACUUCGUCAGGACUUUGCUCACAGCAAUGAACCAGCUGAUUAGUACAGGGGGCAACUUCAUCCCAGAUUUUGACCUCUAAAAAGAGACGUGGUUUCCUUUGGUGUCUAUGCUUUCCUGCUUCCACCACAGUCCAGUUCACCCUGACAAGCAGGUAGUAUGCUGCACCAGGUGAGCCUCUUAGAGUACAGGAUGGAGGGGUGGAGAGAGCUCAGAGGCACAAUUAAGUCUCUUGGGAAGUCCCUGACCUAUUUCCCAUUCAGGAGGGGGCUGGAUCCAAAUGAGGGUUCUUGGUAACAUUAUAGCUUCCCACCAGUCUAGGACUGGGCCAGUUUGAGAUCACUUCAGGAAUAACCAUUGGGUACUGGAAUCUCAGGAGCUGAGCUUUUACCCAUGACUAUGGAAAGAGAUAUGCUCAGACU